AUUGAACGCUGGCGGAAGGCCUAACACAUGCAAGUCGAACGAGUGGCGGACGGGUGAGUAAUGUCGGGGAAUCUGCCUGAUGUAGGGGGAUACCUACUGGAAACGGUAGCUAAUACCGCUUAUCAUCGUAUGUGCCCAGAUGGGAUUAGCUAGUAGGUGGGGUAAAGGCUCACCUAGGUGACAAUCCCUAGCUGGUCUGUGAGGAUGACCCGCCACACUGGAACGGAGGCACGGUCCAGACUCCGACGGGAGGCAUCAGUGGGAAAUAUGGCACAAUGGGUGCAAGCCUGAUGCAGCCCUGCCGCGUGUAUGAAGAAGGCCUUCGGGUUGUAAAGUACUUUCAGCGGGUAGGCGUUACCCGCAGAAGAAGCACCGGCUAACUCCGAGCCAGCAGCCGCGGUAAUAC
rnacentral:rRNA from 1 species